rnacentral:rRNA from 1 species
GACGAACGCUGGCGGCGUGCCUAAUACAUGCAAGUCGAGCGAAGUUUUUCUGGUGCUUGCACUAGAAAAACUUAGCGGCGAACGGGUGAGUAACACGUAAAGAACCUGCCUCAUAGACUGGGACAACUAUUGGAAACGAUAGCUAAUACCGGAUAACAGCAUUAACUGCAUGGUUGAUGUUUAAAAGUUGGUUAUGCUAACACUAUGAGAUGGCUUUGCGGUGCAUUAGCUAGUUGGUGGGGUAAAGGCCUACCAAGGCGACGAUGCAUAGCCGACCUGAGAGGGUGAUCGGCCACACUGGGACUGAGACACGGCCCAGACUCCUACGGGAGGCAGCAGUAGGGAAUCUUCCGCAAUGGGCGAAAGCCUGACGGAGCAACGCCGCGUGAGUGAAGAAGGAUUUCGGUUCGUAAAGCUCUGUUGUUAGGGAAGAAUGGAUAUGUAGUAACUAU